rnacentral:tRNA from 1 species
GUAGAUAUAGCUCAAUUAGGUAGAGUAACUAUUUGUGGCAUAGUCGGUUCCUGGUUCGAUCCCAGGUAUUUACC